CUUUCUUCCUUUCUUCCUUUCUUCCUUUCUUCCUUUCUUCCUUUCUUUCUUUCUGUUGCUGGUGAAUGUCUUGAUAUGGAAUCAAGCUCAGAUCACCAGGUGCUUGUGAGAUCUGCAGCACCCUUCAGCCGGUGCAUUACUCUGGUCACAGGCUGGGGACAAAGUUGUUUUUUCUUUCUACCUUUGCUUGGGUAGAAAGGCAUGCUGCCGUAUGCCUUGGGCAGCACCUGUCUGGGCGGGACACCUCAGGGCAUCGCUGCCAUCUGAAGGGUAGCUUCACUGCUUGGCAUGCCCCACACCUCCAGGUGGGACCGUCUGUAGUGUUUCACAAGGGAGUAUCUUCCAUUUCUCUGUAGUUGCACCACAAUUGGUGAGUGCAAUGGAAGCUGUUGGCUUUAGUGCUGUAGUCUUCUGAGGUUUGGAAUGCGCUUUUCCCAGGCUUGACUUUUGUUCAGGUGUUUGUACAGGCAGAGGAUCUCAGCCAGGCCAUGUUAGGAGCACGUGUCACCUCGUCAGCCUGUGUCACCUCGAGACUCAUGUACCACCUCGAGACCCAUUCCCAGGGCUGUGCGCCUCACCCCAUCAGCAGCAGCAGGCCCAGCUUUCACAUUUCUGGGCAAACUGUGAAGGCUUACUGAUCUGUCAGUGCUUCAGGAAACCAUGGGGCUAGGAAGCGUAGAUGAAGGAUUUUGUGAAAUCUGGUAUUUAAACCUCCCACUCAAAUGAUGAUGAGGAGAGCUGGCAACAUAGCAUUGGCUUAUCAGGAGCUGUGUGGGCAGGUCAACUGAAGAAAAAUGUUGUGUGAACGGCACCAGAAGUGAAGAAGAGAAGCCAGAGUCUUGUCAGGUACAGGGUUAUAACCACAUAAAUACGGUUCUUUUUCUUAAAAAUAUCAUUUUAUUUGAACAAUAAAGGAUGGGCACCCUUGCCAGGCGCUGCUGGAGUGCAGCCUGACCAGACAAGCAGGUCUCUAAGUCACAGAAUACUCACUAAACCAUGUUCUUCAACACAACAGGGUCUAGAUAUUUAGGAUUAUUCUUCUAGCACAAGUAAUUCUGAACUAAGCACUGCAAAUUAAUGUAAUUGUCAGCUCUACUAUCAUGAAUGCAAAUAAUCUGCUUGCGGAUACGUCUUCGGACAAUGCUGUGUUCAAAAAAAAAAAAAAAAGAAAAAAAGCAGCUUUCAAGCUUCAUCUGUCAAUAGAAAUCCUACUAAGUGAGUCGUGCAGGUUGCUGAGAGGCCACGUGUAACUUACUGUGUCCAAUGAAAGUCUCUAAUUGGUUAAAAGUAAUUAAAAAUAGGGACUCUAUGUGAUCACAAAGCCAAAAUCCUAGUUUAAUUAUGGAAAUGGAAGAAUAUCAGCUUGAUUAGACUAGUUACAGCAAAAAGAAGUGUGGAAAGGAUGCACUCUGUGAGUGGUUACGCUGUGAGCUCCCGAAAGCGUUUUGAGGGCAGAGUUGCUGAGCUGGUGGAAAAAAUAGCAAAUUAAAUCAUCUGCAGGUGCUCGUGGUCUGUCCUCACCUCUACACUGACUUCUGAUUGAGGAAAUUUGACUCGGAAAUGGCCAGGACUGAGGGGCAGGUUAUAAUUUCGUGUAAGCCUUGGCUGUGUGGUUCUCUGUGUGCUGAAAGGGGCUGUCAGAGGGCGGGGAAGUGGCUUCGGGAUGGACAAACACAGAGGAUUGAUGGAGGGAAGGAUGGGCUCCGCUCCUGAUGAUGAUGUGGUCCAUCUGAUAGAUGGAAAAAUGGAUCUUGGAAGAUAUCAGAGCGCUUAGGGCAGUCCUGGGGCUGUCAUCUUCGGGUAUGGAAAGCUGAGAUACUUGAGAAACUAUAUUUGGUUGCCUGGGAAGAAAAGAAUAUGCAGGAUAUCAAGGUGCAGCUUUCCAAAAGUCUUAAUGCAUGCUGAGAAAACGAUAGAAAGGGUCAAUAGUGAGCUGUCAUUGCUUUGCAGUGGAGGCUGGUCUCCUCUCCAGCUGAAGAGGAACUGGAGUGGUGGCACAGGAAGUGGACGAGGUUUUGGGAGGAGCGAUAGAAGUAGCGCUGGGAGAAGGCUGAGGCAUCUGAGGCUGAGCUGAGGUGCACCUGGAGCAUAUGGCCAUUUUUGCUGGAGGGCAUGGGGUGAUUUUCAGUGAGUGUGGGGCAGGGGGAGGCUGGGAACAGAGCUGUGGGUGCUGGAAGAGCAACCAGAUGUUGGACUGGAGAUUUGAAUGAGAAAUAGGCGUGUGGUCAAAACGAGAAAGUCUGUGUGCCAGUGUGGAAACAUGACAUAAAAAUAGUCGGAGUAGACUGCUCGGUGGUUUGAAAAGACUUUGACAUAGCUAGCCUGACUGAAGCAUAGUGGGGGAGAAGAUGAUGAAAAUACUGCAAUGGCUGCCAUCAAACCAUACAGGAUACACAGGUCAUAAAGGUGUGAAGGAGCACUCGAUUUAAAAGUUGCCAUAAAACCCAAGAGGAAAUUGGAAUAGUGGUGCUCACACAACCAAACCUGUGUCGGAGAUAAAUUCCGCAUUGUAAUGAAACAGAGGUAUUGAGACACCUUCUAUUCCAGACAAGGAAAAGGUUAUGGAUUUCAUGGGACGUGAGGGAAAACCAAGCUCGUGCGUCUCCAUAAACCUGUUAGAAAAGGUAAAUUCAAUUACGUCGGUGCUAUCUGGCCAGAUGGUUUUGGAAGGAGCUGGCUAACAUUUCGAUGAACAAACAUCUUGAUUUACUUAAAGAAUCAUUUAUUUUAACAGCCUGUUGUAGAGCUAGCCUUGAUUUAGGACUAAAACGUAAGAACUGGUUCAAGAUAUAAUUACAGCUGAGUCAUUAAAUAGCAGUGACCACAGUACAAUUACAGGUUCAGCAUCCUCAGGGGUGGAAGACACUUUACUAAAAAUGAGUCUUGUGUUAUAAAACAUUGCAGGGGAGAACAUCAGAAAAGCAAAAUUGUGAGCCUGGUCAAGGUAGCUCCACAGACACCUGGAAAUGUUCCAGACACCCAGGUUAGGAAGAGCUGUGUCACAAAGGAGCUCCAGAGCCGAAGUGUAGGACAGAACAGUGAAAUAUUUAUAAAAGGAGGGACUUCUGGAGCAAGACUCUUUGACAAGACAGAGGUCCAGCUCUCCCAAAGAGUGCCGGAAGAGCCAUGCUGUGCUGCAGGUCACAAAUUCAAUUUGUGGAAAUUAAGCAGUUCAGCAGGGAUGUUUUGGAGAGCCGGAGACCCUCAGGAACAAACGAUAUUUUAAGCAUACAAGCGAGAAGGCUCUUCAGAGGAUCUAAACGUGUAGGAUUAAAGACACAGUCAUAUUUUCUGCACUAAUUUGUGUCACGUAGAAUGCUCCAAAAAUAAUGUUUCCUACUAAUUUCCACAGAAGUUGCAGCAGAUGCAAGGAGCACAAUGACACUAUCUGACAGAGCAAAUUCUCAGCUACAGAACACGCUCUCAGGUGUGCAUUUUUGUCAGUGAUGCGCAAGAGCCUGCAUACCAUGCUCGUAAAAAUCUGCACCAGCCGAGGUGACCACUGUCACUGUCUCCACCGCAGAAACACACCAUCCACCGCCUUACUGCACUCACACCCACUGUUCAGUCUCCAGAAGAUGUCAGCAAUUGCUGAUGAAUGUCAGUGGGUGCCAUUUUUUCCUCAUGGAGGAAUUUAAUUCUACACCUUUGCUCCAUACUCACUUCCAUGUCAGAUGCCACACUGUCAUACCACCCUUCUACUGCCAUCUGCCACGGAGCAACAAAAUGUAACGGGAUAUUGGCGGAAGGUCCAACCUUUGCUCUCAUCCCACCAUCAUCCACCUCUGUCAUCAUGGGCUGACAUAACAAAGCAGGAGGCAUUACUUUUGGAGCACGGAGUGCAUUCAAGAGGCACCUUUCUGCUUUCGGCAAGGAUAAGGAACGUAUCUGCAGCUUGUACCUUUGAGGCAAAUACAACAUAGCCAGGUAGCAAAUCCAAGUGGAGGAGCAAUGCGCACCCACACAGGAGUUUUUAAAGAGCUGGGGACAGAACACUAAAGUUAGUAGUAAUUAUAGGGUCUCUUAAAAAAUAGCUUGGUAUCCUCCAUGAUUAGAAUACAUCCUAAUGGUGUAUUAUUAAUAAUAAUAACAAUCAUAACAAUAAUGUUAUUGUUAUUAUUAAUAAUGACAUUAUUGAACAGGGCACUGGGAAUUGUAGACCAGCAAUUCCUUGUUUGAGGAGUAGCUAAAGUAGUAUCACAUGUCAGUAUGUGCUAGGGUGAAAGCAACGUACCUUCUGCAAGGAAAGAUCGUGUUUUCCAGGUAAUCUGCCCAAACCUUUUAACCUGCUGGCAAAUGGCAGGGUGCAGAGAAUCGGGGGAUUUUUAUUUGGAUAAAUAUGGAUCAAUAUCAUGGAUGCCUUCUUUUGCUACCGCUGAUAUUGAUCAGCUCAGGGUAGAAGGAAGCUUAGUCUGAGCUGGAGAUGGAAACUUUCCUGGGCUCGGAGGCGGGGGUAUUUCUUGAGUAGAUCUGCAGACUUUGAGCAAGUGAGUUUUCUUUGGGAGGCAGUGAUUUGUCAUAACCAGAGUUGCAGGGUGGAAAAGGGUUGAUUUUCUCUGGACUUAUCUGGUGAGCACAUCUAGGUCAAAGUCUGGUUGGCCAAAGAGGAGACACAAGCGCAGAAUACUUGGCAGCACGACAUCUAGAUUCCUCCUGUGAUGUGGCAGCCCCAGUUCAAAUCCUGACCCUGAGCUAAGGCUGCCACAUCCCAUAGUAUGCCUCAGCAACCAAUGAGUCUGGAUGUAUUCAGCUUUUUUUGUUUGUUUGUUUGUUUGUUUAACCAAACCAAGCAAAAAACCUGAAAGUUGUUGGUUUGGUAGUGGGCAGAAAGGGAAGGUAUGGGGAGAGAAACCUAUCCAGUUCUUUCCAGGUCUCAUCUAGCUCUGUAUUUGAGGCUGCCCACACACAUACGCGUGCAUGUGUGUGCAGACCUCCCCAAGGACCCAGGAGGUGAGCUGCUGUGAGCAGGAGCAACCCUUUGCUGCUGUAGUUCAGUUUAAGGCUUCUUAAAUGUCUGAACGUCCCAACAUUCCCCUGGCUCAGAGGAGCACAAGCUGGGCGUGGGCAGUCUGCAGCUGCAGGGAAUGGCCUCUGCUAGGACAGGCAAUAGAUUGAGAGAAAAAAUGUCAGUGACGCUCUGGAAAUAUAUCUAGGCUUUAGAGGACUUGCUCAUUCAAGAGGAAGAGUGUCUUCCCUUCAGCAUCUGAUUUUGGGUAGAAAAACCAAAUGAACUGAAGGUGCCAUAGAAAUUAACUGUGUAUUACAGAGUUAGGUGCUAAUGUCUUAGAGGCUGCUGUGUUUGAACUCACAUGUAAUACCGUUCAUUACGUUCCCAAGUUGUUCCUCUGCUGUUUUCCCUUGGUAAGCUGGCCGUUGUCACUGACACAACCUUUGUCCCCCUCCCUGAGAAAUACCAAUUUCAUUAUGUUACUCAACUCUAGUGAAAUUGUAUCAGCUGACUUUGAAGUACACAGUAUAAAAACGUCGUGGUAUGCUUGCAUGGUAGUUAUUUGAUGUAAGAAAACGCAAAAUCUCUUGUGCUCUCUCUUUAGGAAUUUGGGCUCUGAGUUUCACUGGGGAGUGCUGUGUGUACCCAACUGCAUGGGGUCAGGCCCACCUUUUUUAAAAACGUUUCACAUCUGAGGUUAGAAAUGCUUCAGAAGACAAAUCAGCAGAAAAACUGUCUGUUCUUGGCUCAGAUGACAGUAGUGACUUGUACUAAGGACUGUCCUUCCACUUAGAAAACUGCACGGCUGCUUCUGCUUUAACUUCUGUCAGAGGUCUGGCAUCUUGGCACAGGUGUUUUUUUCUAAAUGUACUGAGUACAGUUGCCUUUAAAUCCUCUUAGGUACAUACAGUUAUCAUUGGUGUUCUGUAAACUAGCUCUCUACUAGCAUUCACAUUGGACUAGGCCUAAUAUUCUGAAUGUCAAAAAAUGAAAAUGAAUUUAUACCCUUUUAUGCAGUUCUGCCCAGGGUAGUGGUGGGUUGGUUUGUCUGUAGAACUACCAGCAGUGCUACGUCGGUCUUCCCUGCUUUACCUGCGGUGAUUCUUGGUGGGAGAGCCCAGAUGUGUGGGCUGGAAGCCCACUCUACUUUCAGUUGAAAGUUAUGAACUGAAAGAUACAGGCUCAAAUCUAUUUUUCCAUCUGUUGUUGACACCGAGGUAUUAUAGUGAUGAAGUCCUUGGAAACACUUGGACAAACUCGGCUGCAACACUGAGAUAAUGCAUCUUUCUUUUCCAUUCUUUUCUUUUGCCGUCGAUCGAGUAUCUGAGCGUUUUUUGUCAUGUAAAAUGUUUAACUUUGAGUAAAAAUUACUCCACUAUCUGUCAGAUACUAUCCCUUCUCAUCCCAUAAAUCCAUUUAGGCUUGAUUAUUUGUAGUCUUCCAGGAAGGGCCGACUGUGUGCAUUCCCAAAGCCAACACCUGCCCCAGUGAGGGAAGGAAACCUUUCUGUAAAGGCAGCGCUGCCCAGGCACCCACGGCUCUCUGCUCCGGGUGCUCUGAGGCCCCAGCAGGGAGGGCUGUGAGACAGGCUGUGCCGCAGCGGGGUGGGAUGACGGCCCCGUCCCACAGCUGUGCCCCAGGGGGGCAGAAAGCUCGCAGCUCUGGGUGCGGUGCGGGGCGGCCGCUGGCAGGCUCUGCGCGGGGCACAGGCAGCCUGGGGUGCUGAGGUGCCAUGCACCAGCCUGCACUGCAGGUCACCCCGCACGCUCCCUGCCUUUGGGUCCCAGGAAAGGGAAAUUGGAACUUUUUCGGGUCAAGAAAACUCAGUGAGGGUGACACCAGGCCCCUGGAGAGCGGUGUUUUUCCCACAGUAGUGCCGGCUGCUCACACUUGCUUCUUUUCAGCCAUUGCCCAUGGUUUGGUUUUGCUGGGUUCUUAGCCAUCUUGACCUCAUGUUUGCAAAUAUUAUUGGUAAUAUAAUGCUAUAUGUACAAAUGUCUGUGUGGCUCGUGUAUGUUUCUGUGGUUCAAAUCAGCCACAGAAUUCUGGAAUUUCAUUGUACUUUGGUUAAAUGUUGGACUUUUAACUCUUCUACUGUAUGGCUUCUUGAUUUCUCUUGUCCAAUGUGGACCAACUCUCUAUUUUUGGAAAUAAAUAAGCAUGUAAAUAAAAUGAAUGGGUUUAUGCCACUUACAAGAAAAUGCUUCAUUUCAAAUAUUCACUCAGACUUGUAUAUUUUAUGGCAUCUCACGGCACGGCCGACCCAUCGCAGCCGAGAGGCUGAGGCAAAGCAGCCUUCGCGGUGAGAUACCAUACGAUGUGAAGUCAUUGCCAGGUGCUGUCGGCCAGACAGACGCUGUAGGGCUGCGGGGUGAACGGCAGUCUUGUGGAGGAGGGGGGCCGGGAAAGCAGUGCGUAGUUUGAGAGGAGCAAAGAAAAGAGACCUGGCUUUGUGGUGCACAUGUGGCUUCUGGUUUGAGGUGUCCCUGUCCCUGUUGCUGGCAGUGCAGGGUGCCCGGGGCCAGCCCUUGGCCUCUGCCCGCAGCGCAGUCCCGCAGCACGUCCCGCUGGCGCGUGGAGAGCGGGAGCACUAUGACUUUUUUUUCUUCUCCAUAUAAACCAAUAUUUACCAGUAAUCCUGUGUUUCUGUUUUUGUUUUUUGGCAGACUUUUACCAGUAAAUAUCGGUUUAUUCCUGAAACCAGAAGCCCUAUACAUACCUUUGUUUAUAAGGUCAGUUGUCAUUUCGUCUCUCUCGUUCCCCACUCCCCCCAGUACAAACUGGCAGGUGAUUGAAAGGUACCGAGCUUUCUUUCUAGUUUUCCUACUCUGCAACUCUGGAAAUGGAGCCCGCAGGACCUAGAGCCUUCUCUUGCCUGUGUGGUUCUGAUUGCUGGCAGUUCUCUAAUACAGCUUUAAUCUGAGCAGUUGAGGCUGGUCCCACCUUACCUUCAGACGUCUUGCGGAGGACUCCUGUUACCCGUUUGGUACCCAAAAGCUACACCCACCAUGAGAAGUCACUUAUUUUUUAAAAGGCAAUGAUAGAUUACCGUCUCUAGUUCUAAUGGAAAAAUUAUACUGCAAUGCAACUUUAUAAUAAAUUGUUCAUAUAUUCAUAAUUCCGUGGCAAUCCCAAAUUGGAGGAUGGAUCUGUUAAAGGUAUAUAUUAGUCUAGAUUUUUUCUUAUUGUAAAUACUGUAAUUUUAUAAUACUGUCAAUAUUUUAUUAACUUAGAAAUAUUUAACAGAGUUUAAUCUAUUGUAGUUGAUUUAUUUAUAAGUUUAUGUUGCAGCCAAUAUUGAACUGCAUUCUAAUGUAAGAUUAACUUUCAGCAUGUGAACACUGAUUUAAUCUAUCAUUGGAAAGAUUGAAAAUAAGGAAAAAUUUCACUCUCAAUCUGUAAUAUUUAUCCCCCGAUCAGCAGUUCAGAGUUUUUAAUGAAACAGUACAAGAUUUCAAAAGCUCAUGAACUGCAGUUGGAUCGUGUCGUUUGAAAACUUGAGUUUUGAAAUGUAUCUGGCUUUUUCACCCUGUUGGCAGUGAAUAAGAUCGCUUCAGUACCUGAACUUUAAAGUACAGAAGUCUUUAUUUUGAGCAAAGGGACACUCUCAGAUUAACAUUAGGUUCUUGUUUUAAGGGAAGAAAAAAAAAAGCAAAACUCACCUCCCCAGCACCCGUGUUAAUUCCAUCUCAAUCACAAGGAAAAAACAUUUUUUCUGCUGGCUUGCUAAUUGGCUCAAAGCGUUCCUGGAGCUGUGCUUGCAGGUGAGCUGCAGCCGGGGGCUCCCACUGCUCCAGGCGCAGGCUGGGGCCCUUCCCCAGGUGUGCAGCUGCACACUGCGGCCUCGCAGGGGCAGAUCCGGUCUCUGGCACUGCUUAUAACCAUUGUCAAGGUGGAUGAAAGUGCGUAAAAUUUACCCUUUGUUAGGCUGAAGUUUCUCUUCACAAAUUUGCUUUUUUUUUUCCCCCACAUACAUCUCUCUUUUAGCCUGACAGUGUCCCUUUAACAGUACAAAGAUGUUUACUUUCUCUAAAAAACUAUUACAAGUGACUUUGAGACAGAGGCGAACUCAUCUGUAAUAUGUUUGCGACAUAACUUGCAUAAAGAUAUCAAAAAACAUAAGGGGUUUUCAUGGGAGUUGGUUUUUUUUUUGAGUGUAAAAGUUAAUCUUUAUUAGAGAUGUGCCAAUCUAUACUGCUUUAUUGUAGUGUUGUUACACUUAGGCAUUUCAGUUAACUUACAAAUAUAUACUGUAACAGUAUACUUUGUACAGAUUUAUUUAAAAUUUAUUUGAAAACUGAAAUAAAUUAGGCAGAAAAUAAAGAUAUUUAUUUUUCAUUUGACAAUGUAAGAAGGUAUCAUUCUUUUGGUUUUAGUGCACUGGUGUACCAAGCCUCGGAACCACUGUUUUCUUCAGUUCCUAGUAUGCUUUCCAGACACUGUGGAUAUGUGUGUGUGUACUGUUAUGCUUCUAACUAAAUGCCAACAACGGAGUUCAUUGCUUUUAUACAUCCCAAAGAAAAGCUCUCCACCAUUCACUUUCUGUUUUCUGAUGAAAAGAUGCAUGUUUUUGAACAGUGUCAUUACAAGUUCCGCCACCCCACUUUCACAUCAGCUUAUGCCAGUGCCAGGAUGGGAGGAUUUGCCUGCCCAGUGACUUCCCCAGUACACCACAGCCAGCAGUGGCAUCAGCAGGGAGCAGUUCGAAUGCGUGUCCUUUGGGCUUUACGUAAAGCAAACGCAGAACAAGAAAAAUCAAGACGUUAAAUUCGUUAGAAAACAAAUUCCUCGUUGUACAGUAGUAUGGAAGUCAACCUGCCAUUCAUAAUAGAGUCUUAUUUUUUUGAAUGAUCUAUUUAAAAGAACAGCAAGCAUUGUAUUUGCUAGUAAAGCUGAACUGUUUACAUGGAAUUACUAAAUAAAUUAUUUGAUCUAAAA